GGUUAAUAAUGUGUUAGGGCGGCGGUGUUCCAAUUGGCCAGUCUCAACAGGUGCCGCGAGGCGCUCAGUGGUGAGUGCUGUGACUCCUGCCGCGAAACUCGCUUGCUCCAAAGCGCAAUUGAGCGUGGUGAAGGCACUCGGAUCCGCGAGGUGGCCCUGUUCCACAGCGACCAGAGGCGUGGUGCUUGAUACAGAAGCCAGUCAGAAGGAAGGAGCACUUGGGAGGCGGAGCAGUUUACAUCUGACACGUGGCUCGCCCAGUGGUAUACCAGCUGCCAUGCCCCCGUCUGUGCUCUAUUAGGAAGACAGCAGCCGAAAAAGCUUCAGAAAUAAGGUAUUUGUGCUUCCCAUGUUUCUUCUCAUCAUCAUUCUCACUUUCCUCAAUGAAAUCAAAGAACAGUGAACAGUGCUUUCUACUCACGUAUCCCUGUUUUGUCCUCCUCACUAAUGCAUAAGUUAAUCGGUAUCUUCACUCUCUGAUUCCUUUCACUUGUAAUUCUGGGACACUUUACCUAUUUCUGUUCUCCUCUUUCCUCCGUCUUGAGCGAUUUCAUGCAUAUCAAGACACUUUCGUAACCAAAAUGGCAAACUUUUAGGUAUCGCCUCACAUUAUCCAGGCUUCUUUUACCUGAAUUUUUGUGCACUUUGCCAGACUCAUUGACACGUGAAGUAAUAAUUUCAUGGCCUUGUAUUUCAUUCAUUGUGUGUCUUCUAUUUUACAGCUUAAAUUUUUGCAUUUACUUCAUGAAAAUGUGGUCAUUAGUGGCUUGAUGGCUAUCUAGACUCUCAGUGUCGCCCACUGACUGGCGAUCAUACAGUGUUGUCCGAGACAUGACAUUUGUGAAAGAGCAGCACGACCCCCGCGGCGCCGCUCGACCUGUGCUGCCCGGGAAUGGUGCGGCUACGAGAUAGUUGUGGUGGUGGUGGAGCUUUGGCCUUGUGGUGUGUGUGUGCCGGGAGAGAGAGAGAGAGAGAGAGAGAGAGAG